AUGGCAAGACAUUUGACGCUGAUCCAGAACUUGGAUCCUAUGCUCAAAUGUCUUGCAUCAAAGACACUUGCUUCACCAGAACCACCACAUGAAGGAAUGAGAUGAUCAUUGAUGACACUCAUGAUAUCAUUGCAAAUGGUAUCAAGCUCCAAUUCGACCUUUUGCCUAUACUCCUUGAUACGUUUCGCAUUCUGAUCAUUCCCUCUUGAUUCUUCUUUCUGCUCUAUUGACGACAGAAUCCUCCACGAGGCUCUCCUAGCACCAAUCACGUUUUUGUACCCAACCGACAGCAAAUUUCUCUCUUCCACAGUCAGUUCCACGCCUAUCUUUGCAACCUUCUUCAUUGCUUCCACCAUUUCUUGAGUUACCAUCAUAACGUUCGGCUUGCUCGGCGAGCUUAGCGGUGUAGACGAAGAUCUCGCGAUCGGAAGUAGCCAUGGAGAUGGAUCUGUGAGAUUUGAUGAAGAUGUAGAUGAAGAUGAAGGUGUCAACUGUCAAGGGUUUUGUUUUGUUUGCUGGUUGU
rnacentral:lncRNA from 1 species